rnacentral:snoRNA from 1 species
GCCAGCAGUCAAAGCAUCGUUUCUCGCUCACGCGAGUCGGCAUUGCACAGCAAUCAGCGGCAACAUGCG